rnacentral:lncRNA from 1 species
UGCCAUGAGCGGUUAUUUGGCUUUUGACUUUUCUUCUUGUCUAAGAGGUAGCAGCAGCAACAGUGCCCACUUUCUGGGCAGCUUCUUUCUUGGCAUGAUGUUCCUGCAGGACUGCCACAGCUUCAUCUACCUUGGAGCGGAGGGAUUCAGGGGACUCCAGCAUGUGCAGCAGCUCAGAGUUGCCAAUUUCCAGCAGCAUCCCGGUGAUUUUCCCAGCCAGGUUUGAAUGCAUUGUUUGGAUAAGCGGGAAUAGACGCUCCCCCAGCAUCUGCUUCUGCUCCUGGGGGCGCGCUGCAGCAAGCAUGGAGGCAGUCAGGGGCUCCUGAUGCUGGACGAGGACUGCAGGCUGGGGGGCCUGCAGCGGCUGGAUAGCAGGGUGUGGGCUGCGGACACUGGAGGCGUACUUGUAUGGAGCCACAGCCCUGGGAGCGGUGGCAGCAACUGUGGCUGGAGGUGCAAGGUUUGGCCUGGCUGUAGGGACGCCUCCAGACUGACAGCUGUCAGUCAGCCCUUGCUGGGCGGCACCAGCCCCACCAAAGUCCAUAGCCAAGCGGUCUGGGCACUCAGACCUGACUCUCUGAGCAGUAGUAGUAGGAAGGCCACGAGAGGACGGAGCAUUACCAGUUGGAGCCAGAUGUCCAAGAGCUGGACCAGGCCCAGACUGCCUCAGGGCACUAGGCAUUCCUUGGAAGCCUUGAAGUCUCCCGCCUUGCUGCCAGCAUGGAUUAGGCCUCAUCUGUGCUAACUGGUUAGGCGUGUAAUAUGGGGGUCUUCCCUGAGCCUGCGGAACCUCCGGCACAAAGUAGCCACCAGCUGCAGGCUGGAACUGAUUUAAGAUGGCACCGGCAGGGAGUGCUCUCAACCCUGCCACAUGCUGCAUGUACUGGUUGGUCAGGUGAGCCUUCCGCUCUUCCUUCCUCUGGGCCAGGGCGACAUACAGAGGCUUGGAGCCCACAAUGCGUCCAUUCAUCUCGGUGACAGCUUUGGUCGCCUCUUCACGAGAGGGGAAACAGACAAAGCCAAACCCUUUGCUUCUCCCAUCUUCCAGCAUCACCUUCGCACUGGUGAUUGAUCCAAAGGGAGAAAACUCUCUCCUUAAUUUCUCAUCAUCAAUGGUGUCAUCCAAGUUCUUAAUGUAGAGAUUCACCCCCUGGUACCGGCUAAUCCUCUCCUGCUUGAGCUGCUCAAACUUCCGCUUUAGCUCAGCCUGCCUUUCUACCUUUUUCUGUGCACGGCCUACAAAUAUGGCUUUCCCGCUCAUUUCUUUUCCAUUCAUUUCGUCCACAGCCUUAUUGGCAUCCUCGUGUUUCUCGUAACUUACAAAGCCAAAGCCUCUGGACUUCCCACUGGAGUCUCUCAUCACCUUGACACUUAGGGUCUUGCCAAACUGGCUGAAGAGCUCUUUCAGAUUCCCAUCAUCCACCUCUUCUCCGAAGUUUUUGAUAUAAACAUUGGUGAAUUCCUUGGCCUUGGCUCCAAGCUCCGCUUCCCGCUCUUUGCGAGACUUGAAUCUACCCACAAACACUUUACGGUCAUUGAGAAGCAAGCCAUUCAUCUUCUCGAUGGCCUUGUCGGCGGCCUCUUGGGUCUCAAAGUGAACAAAAGCGUAGCCCUUAGAGCCGUUCUCAUCACAGACCACCUUACAGGACAAGAUGUUUCCAAAGGCAGAGAAAGUGUCAUACAGUGCCUUGUUGUCUAUGGAUUUGUCCAGGUUCUUGAUGAAGACAUUUCCCACCCCAGACUUUCUCAAAGAGGGAUCGCUCUGCCACCACAUGAUGCGGAUAGGCUUUUCAUUUAUCACGUCGAAGUUCAUGGUGUCCAAGGCCCUCUCAGCGUCAGCUGGCUGCUGGAAGUUGACGUAGGCAUAACCCAGCGAGCGCCCAGUGAUCAUAUCGCGACAGACCCAGAUGGACAGCACAGGCCCGACAGGGCUGAACUUUUCAUACAGCAUGGCUUCGGUGACGUCCGAGUGCAAAUCGCCCACGUAUAAGGAGGCCAUGGGGUAGCUGCUGGCUGCAGCGUUCAUCUCCCCACCCCCCAGGACCCCGAGCGCUGCCAGGAGGACUUCUAACAAGGCUACACCUGGGAAGACUGGAGCAAGGAGGCUUCG